GGCUCAAUCGAAAUCAUUAAAACAUUAUGGAUAGCACAAUAAAAAAAAGGCAAUUAAAACGAUUUAAACUAAGUAUACAUAAGCAUGUACAGAAACGUACGAUAACAUAUUUGUUUUAAUCUUGAAUAUAAGAAUUCGAUCUAAAAUAAAAAUAAAUUAUCUUCGGUAAUCGGUCGUACUUAGCAAAUUUGCGUAUAUUCCUACGAUUAUAUACGACCAAUAAUAUCUUAAAAUAUGCAUUCUAAAUAAUACUCAACACAGCAUAAAAAGCUUAUGUAUAUUUAUAUUUAACAAAUACCUAUAAGUGAUAAUCGGCAAACACGCAUUAGAAAAAUAAUGAUAAAAAUAAAUAUGCGAACAUCUCUACUAUUCAUGGAAAUUUGUGAUUAAAUAAAUAAAAUAAAAAUAUCAAAUAAUCGAUGUGUUGCCAUAGAAAAAGGAAAAAAUAAAUUGAAAACUUGAGUAUUGACUUAUUAAAAGAUCUUUUGAAAGAUCGUGUCUACUUAACGUUAGCAUUUCGUUCAAAUUGUGCCUGAAUCGUUCGAGUCGAUUUCGCAUCACUAAUGUUAAAAUCAUCGUUAAGGCGAAGUAAUAGGUCUGACGAUUUUUGAAAGACAUGGUAUCUCGCAUCGUACACGUGCUGAAUCUCUGAUGGGCUGAAAGGGUCGCCGUUGGACAGCGAUGGCGGUCGUAGAAACUGAGAAAGGAGUGACAAGUGAAAUAGAGAGGGGGUGGUGAAGAGGAUGAGGUAAAAGACAAGUAAACCCCCUCUGAAAGGGAGGAAAAGGAGGGGGAGAGAAGCACACGGAGGAGAGAGCUGCUCCCUCUCUCACUGGGUUUAUUGAUCGCAGGGUGCGGAACGGACCGAGCUACCCUUCGUGCAUCCGUACGCCAUGCUUGAUGGUAUUUGGUCCAACGAGGUAGUUUGCUCGUUUGCCCACAGCUUAUCUCUAUUCCUCUCUGUCCUCGCUUAUCCAAAGUUUUACUGAAUUAUAAAUCAAAUUUAAAAGAAGGGAAAGCUUGGUGACAACAAAAAAUUAAAUAGUUAACAAAUAUUGCAGUUAAGAUUUGUACGACGCGUGAUUGAACAAAGACGAUGACGAUGGCGAUGACGAUGACGAUAACGAUCACGAUCACGUUCUAGCUACGAUGAUGUCACUGUCCUCAGGACGAUACGAUCCGUCAUCUUGAAAGAAACGUGUUAGCCAACCAAACGAGACAAACAUGCUGACGAAAAGAAUAAAGAAAGUGAGCCCGAGAAAAUCUGGAGUAAGAGACGGGACAGAAAAGAAGAAAAAAAAAUAAAAAAGAAGGUAAAAAGAUCGUUGAAGGGGAGUCGCUCUUGGUGGUAACCAAGGCAACGCGCAAAGCGUAGUAAGUGUAAGCUCGUGGCGAACAAAUUUUGAACAAAUGAUUUUAAAAUGUUCCAAUACAUAUUUCCUCCAGUGGAAGAAUAUAAAGAUCAUUUCAAAAA
rnacentral:lncRNA from 1 species